rnacentral:tRNA from 1 species
CAAAAUAUAGCUUAACUAAAGCCUCUUGCUUACACCAAGAAAAUGUCUGAUAAUACGGACUAUUUUGAG